UGGUGCAAUCUCACCUCACUGCAACCUCCAUCUCUCGGGCUCAAGCAAUUCUCCUGCAUCAGCCUCCCGAGAGAAUAGCUUGAACCCAGGAGGUGGAGGUUGCAGUGAGCUGAGAUCAUGAAACUGCACUCCAGCAUGGGCGACAGAGUGAGACUCCGUCUCAAGAAAAAAACAAACAUAGAUGUGUCACUUUAUUCAUAAAAACUAGAUGUACAGUCUUCUCAAUCACAAUGAAGUAGAAAACGUGAAACAUCCUACUAAACUUUUAACACUGCUUAUUACAAUUUUUAUGUAUGCUAGAAGAUGCUAGUGUUCUAAAAAAGAUGUAACAACUAAAAUAUUCCUAAAACCAAACAUUAUAUGACAAGCAAAAUCGACUGCAUGGAACUGAAAGUGUAAUCUCAAACAUCAAAAAUAAAGCCAGCCGGGCGUGAUGACUCGCACCUGUAAUCCCAGCACUUUGGGAGGCUGAGGUGGGAGGAACACUUGAGUCCAGAAGUUUAGGACCAGCCUGAGCAACACAGUGGAGAACCCAUCUAUGAAAGAAAGAAAGAAAGAAAAAACAAAGCAAAACAUGGUAAGGCCUUAAGUGAUGCCCGAUGAUGACAGGCCAGCUGAACGGCGGCAUGCCCUGUGCCAGGCAUAGGCCUGCACUGUGCUCACUUGUCUUUGACACGCUGCUCUCUCCUAAAGGACUGCUCUGAAAAUGACCACAGUUUUGUCCUUAGUAGCAUCCAUCAGAUUUAGAUUAAAUUAAGAAUCUAGUAGCUACUUUAAUCUAGUGCUUAAAGCUACUUUACCACAGUAUUACAGAAAAACUAGAAGUAACAUUUUGUUAAAACCAGGUCCCCAGUACAUAAAACAGAGAGUAAACACAGUGCAGGAUAAAGACUGACUUUAGGAAAAAGAGUUACUGCUGAUGUCAUUUCUCUAACAGUCGUCAGACUUUUCUAUGAGAAGGCCAGAGGCUCACACUUGUAUACACAACGUGCAGGUGCAGGGAAGACCAAGGAAAGCAGCUAUCCAAUUUUUUACAAAGCCAUACAGAGACAAGUUCAAGGAAAAAGCUUUAAGAGUUAUUUUCAC
rnacentral:lncRNA from 1 species